rnacentral:ncRNA from 1 species
GAUUUAUAUAGAAGAGGUAAGAGACAGGCUCGCAGACCCUCUGGCAACCUGGAAAAUCCAAGGUGCCAAUUCCUGCCAGGUGAAAACAGUUUCAUUUGGAAAUAUAAAUU